rnacentral:lncRNA from 1 species
UACACUCUACCAUUUUCAAAUAAAGGGGGGGGCAGCUCACGUUUUUGAGAAGACCCAGCAGAAGGUGGAGCUCUCGUUUUUCAUAGAAGGGUGGUGGUUCUUCAUUGGUUUUUUCCCCUCUCUCUUUGGAAGGCAAUUGGCAUAGCAUGGGGCUGUUCCUGAGCCUGAAAAACUGCCAUAAGAGGUGAAGAAGAAGCUGCCGGCAGAAGAAGAAGAAGAAGCUUGACAGAUUCCGGCUGAAGAGGGGUUGUAUUCUUCCACUUUUAUUUUCUUGUUUUUGCCUUGAAUCUUGUUUGUUGAUCGUUGUUUUGGUAGUUUGAACUCCUAGGAUCCCCAACAAACUGGUAUCAGAGCUAGGAGGAGUGAUAUUAGUCCAAAAAUCGAUAAAAAACCAGCAAGAAAUCACCAUUUUCACAUUCUAACCGAAUCUGAAAAACUUGAUUUCCGGCCAACCGAUUGACUUUCCGGCGAAAUGGACCAUGGAACCAUGACCAGCAGGAGGAGGCGCACCCUGUGGUGGGGCGCGUGACCGGCGGCGGGCGGCUCCGGCGGCGGCGGAGGCAAUACAAUGAAAAACCACACAAAUUUCAUGCAAGGCAUUGGGUAUUUGUAGUUAAAGGUAAUUAGGUAAUUUGAAACACGUAAAACUCUUCAAAAACACAAAGUAGGGUUUUACACGUAAACCUGUCACUCACGCGAGAGCUUAGUUAUAGCUGGACUACGGUCUGUUGCUUGAACAAGACAUGGAUGAUAGAGCGAGCAACGAGGUUCCUAUUUUUUGUCGCUCGAGCAACGCCCAGGUGAUAGGCUAGCGAAAUUACGACGUCUCUUCUUUCCUUACUCCAAACUCAAAUCCUAAUCUACCUAACUCAACUAUACAAAAUUACGACUAACUCCUUGACUUUUUACAACAUAUUUAAUUUAGUUCUUUUGUUCACAUAAUUGCCAAUUACAUAAAGCAUAACAAACUCCUCUUUUGGCAUUCUGUGAUAAAAUCAUAUAAUUAAAGUUAAGGUAGUAAAAACACAAUAAUCUAAUCUUCCCAAACUCUGUUUCUUGCAUUCCUUGCUAAAUCUAUUUCCAGAAAACAACAACUCAAAUACCAACUGUAGAAGCACUUGAUACAAAAAAUAUAGCAAUUUAGGCACAUGAUCAUACAUAAGAAUGCUAAAUGAGAAGUAAUACUAAUGUCAAUCAAACACAUCAGCCAAAACAUUAGUAUUACAAAACAUCAAAAGCUCAAACAGCUAUACAUUAUGAUAUGGAAUGCAAUGAAAAUAAUCAAUAUCUCCUUAUUGGAAACUCUAAUCAAUCUCCCCCAACAUGCAAUUCUCUUUCAAGGUAUAAAGAUAUAAUGUUAUAGAUGAUAUUGAUAUAGUCUUUAUCCCCUAUCGAAAUAAUUACUCUCCCAUUUUUUUGUCACAAAUGACGAAAUGAUCAAUAUCAAAAUUUUUAACAUCAAUACAAUAACUCAAAAUAUGCAGUUGAUAGCAUGAACAAGAAUAAUCAAUGAUCAGUAAACCUUUCCACAUACUCAGUCCAAGUUAACAUGGAGUAAAUUAUAUAAGUGACCCAUGUUUGUAAAGUGUCACUAAUCCUUGCUAAGCAAAACUCCAAACCUUAAUUUUGUGAGAAUGGACAUGCUAAGCAUCACUGUUAAUAAGUUUAUUCCUCUAUUUAUGAUAGUUAAACCAUUUAAAGCACAUUAGAACAUUUAAAUCAAAGCUCAUUUUGUGUGGAUAUUUUCUUUUCUUCCCCUAACUUUGAUCAUAUAUAAAUUUUAUACAUAUCCUUCAAUAUUUUUUAAGCUCAUCAUAUUUUACAUCUUAAGUGUAGGUCUUUUUCCAUUAACUAACUAAGAUGACCUUGUAGCGAACUUUAGGCCAAUUAAUCCAAGUCAGUUGACUAUAGGCACCAGGUUAUGAGAAAGCCCGCAGGCUUAAUUGCUUGAGUCAAAUAGGUUCCGAAGAAGAAUAUAAGAUAUUGAGAUUUUUUUUUCAAUUCAUAAGUUCCAUUGUCGAUGUAAUGUUUUGAGUGAAAGAAAAAGAAAAAAACAACGAAAAAAAGAAAGGAAAAAGGAAGUGAUGGAAGAAAUAGUUUUUAAUGUUACAAACUAUCUAUAUUCACAUUUUCUCCUAGCAUUAAAUGAGAUAGAUGCAAAUCAAAGAAAUUGUGAGUGGAGUGAUUGGUUAUGCAUGUAUUACACGUAUUUGAGUUUGAGUUGUUACAUUUUUUUUUUUGCUCCAUUAGUUUCGAUGGCUUUUGAGCUACAUUCUCAAAUACUUCCCACCUUAUGCCAAAGCCACCUUACAACCCUUGAAAAGUCCUUGUGAUUCGUGUUAUGCAGGUGAUCUAAAUGGUGGCAAGUGAGAAGAUAUGAAAGCAUAUGGUAGAUCAUUUCCAUUGAAAUGAAUUUGAGCAAAACACAUACCCUUUAAACACAUGAGAGUCGAGUACUUAUUUCCAUAAGGUUCUGCAUGUUUAGUUUACUCCAUUUUCGAAAGAAAAUGCUUACUAAGUAAUUAUGUGUUGUCUGAUCAUGUUUAUUCAUGAUAUAUUAUGUAUUUUAAAGAGUUUGGUUGUUUUAUGUCGAUAGCAUUGCAACCUUGAUGUUUUUGGUGAAGUAAAUUUGAAUUUUGCUUGAGGAUGAACGAAAGUUAAGUAGGAGAAUUUGAUGAGAAUGUAAAAUGUUAUAUUAUUCCUCUCUUAAUAUGUAUGCUUUUAUAAUUAUUUGGUGCCUAAAUGUACUCAUUAUUCUUGUAUUUUGAUUUAGGAUGCAAAUUGAUGAAUGUAGCGAAAAUUAGGAUAGACAAGUGGAAAAUGACCAAAAUGGAAGAAAACUAAAGUUUAGGGACCAAAGUGCAAAUAGUUGAAAGAUGACCCGGAAGCAUAAACAAGGAUGUGAAAGAGUUAAUGACCAAUUUGUUGAAGACAUGAAGUGUUGGAAAAAGAAGAAAUGACAAAAAAAGGUCAAGAAAUGAGAAAACGUGUUUGAGGGCUAAAACAUAAAUGUUGUAAGUUGAGUAACAUGUAUCUUCAUAGAAUUGAAGGGGUGAUUUUAGUUGAACUAUGCGGUCUCAUCGAAAUAUACUAUGCGGUUGCAUAGUACAAUUUCAGUCAAAAAAUUUUGGUUUCCUUAUUUGAUUAAAACUUUUAUGGAAACAAUUCAAGAACCUUUUUUUAAACCCUAUGACCGUCCAAAAGAAGGACACACGCCUCCCAUCACCUUCUCCUCUCUUUGAGACUUUCAAUUUUCGUGUCUGGUUAAUUCUUGUACUUAGUCAAAGGAAACUGAAGCCUCGAGACAAAUUAAACUGUGAGAUCUAAAUUAUUUUCAUUGUUUAAUUCAUGUUUUGAGUAUUGAAUAUUCUUCUACAUGUAUUUUCAUAAUUGUUGUGUUUAAUUACUUGGAGGCCUACUAAUUUAUUAUAUGCUACAAUCUGUUGAUUGAUUAAUAUCAAAUCCGUAAUUGUUUGAUUCAUUUAACUAGUGAAGUAACUAGGAUUUAAUGGCUUGUUGCGUUAGAAAUUGUUAAAUCUUGGGACGAACGUAUGAGUAGAUCAAAUAUAACCACUUGUGCUUGUAUUAUUUAUAUUCAUCGAUCUCUCUAAUUCUUAGGGCUGUUAUUAGAUUAAACCUUAGCACAUUUCUUAGGUUGUCUAGUAAUUAAGGUUAAUUGGAUCGCUUGUUUUCUAAUUAACUACAAUUAAGGAUAGAUAGGAAAUUAAUUCCAAUGAUGAAUGCUAAAAAUAUGAAUUGAUAUUUAUAUAUGGAUCAAUGAUCAGUUGUGAACUUUUGACGGUGGAUGUUAACUUAGAUCAAGGUUUGUUCUUUUUAUUUAUUUCGAUCCGUCAAUUAGCAUUGCUUAUUAGUUAUUUUCUUUAGAUUGGUUGUGUUAUAAUAAAAAACCUUCUUCAUUGUUUACAUAGCAUAAAGUUAGAUUAGACACUUUUUGUGUGAACGAUCCUUACUCGCACUAUUACCUAGAUUUCUAGGAUUAUAUGUUUUAUUUUUGGUUGCCUACGACAACACACCACCAACCCUGGUAAGCACCAUUGGGCUAGAAUGAAAUGGUUUUGAGAUAUAUUGUUGAGACAUUAAAUUUGGGUCUAGUGUAUUAGAGAAGAACUGAAAUCUUUAACCCUUAAGGUUUAUGUAGAUGUUGACUUUGCUAGUUACAAAGGUAGUAGAAAAUCAACUACAGACUAUUUCUUUACUCUUGGAGACAAUUGCAUAACUUGAAAAUCUCAAUUGCAACCUUUGGUUACACUAUCCAACACUGAAGCUGAAUAUGUAGCUAUAACCGAAGCUCUAAAAAAAAUUGUAUUUGGUUAAAAGGAAUUUUAAAAGAAUUGAACUUCAUGCAUGAUACACCUGUUAUGUUUACUGAUAGUCAAAGUACUUUAUUGCUUUGUAAAAAUCCUGUUUACCAUGAAAGAACUAAACAUAUUGAGGUAAAGUAUCAUUUUAUACGUGAGAAACUGUCUCAAGGUGAAGUUAAUCUUGUUAAAAUUCACACUGAUAGGAAUCCCUCUGACAUGGGAGCAAAAAUUCUACCUGCAAGAAAAUUUAGAUUGUGCUUAUCUUUAUUACACAUUGACACUGGUUAAUUUUUCUUGCAGGUGGUGGGCGAUGAUGAUGAACAGUUCUUCCAUGUGCAAAUUCGCAACCAAGAGAGAGUGUUAGGAGAACCAAGGUGAAGAAUGUGAGGAUAUGGUUCACCUAACCCCACCACCUAAUGUUGUGACUUGAUGGGAGUGAGGUUGACACAAUAAGGUCUUCCCUUCUUUUGGCAGAGGCAUGGUCUUUCUUCCUACCCCUUCAUUAUGUACACUCUACCAUUUUCAAAUAAAGGGGGGGCAGCUCACGUUUUUGAGAAGACCCAGCAGAAGGUGGAGCUCUCGUUUUUCAUAGAAGGGUGGUGGUUCUUCAUUGGUUUUUUCCCCUCUCUCUUUGGAAGGCAAUUGGCAUAGCAUGGGGCUGUUCCUGAGCCUGAAAAACUGCCAUAAGAGGUGAAGAAGAAGCUGCCGGCAGAAGAAGAAGAAGCUGGACAGAUUCCGGCUGAAGAGGGGUUGUAUUCUUCCACUUUUAUUUUCUUGUUUUUGCCUUGAAUCUUGUUUGUUGAUCGUUGUUUUGGUAGUUUGAACUCCAAGGAUCCCCAACAAAAAUGUUCUGAAUUUUAUUGUUCAUCUGUUAAAUUUUUCCAUAGUUAAUCAAUUUAUAUUGUCUCCA